GACGAACGCUGGCGGCGUGCUUAACACAUGCAAGUCGAACGGAAAGGCCCUGCUUUUGUGGGGUGCUCGAGUGGCGAACGGGUGAGUAACACGUGAGUAACCUGCCCUUGACUUUGGGAUAACUUCAGGAAACUGGGGCUAAUACCGGAUAGGAGCUCCUGCUGCAUGGUGGGGGUUGGAAAGUUUCGGCGGUUGGGGAUGGACUCGCGGCUUAUCAGCUUGUUGGUGGGGUAGUGGCUUACCAAGGCUUUGACGGGUAGCCGGCCUGAGAGGGUGACCGGCCACAUUGGGACUGAGAUACGGCCCAGACUCCUACGGGAGGCGGCAGUGGGGAAUAUUGCACAAUGGGCGGAAGCCUGAUGCAGCAACGCCGCGUGCGGGAUGACGGCCUUCGGGUUGUAAACCGCUUUCGCCUGUGACGAAGCGUGAGUGACGGUAAUGGGUAAAGAAGCACCGGCUAACUACGUGCCAGCAGCCGCGGUGAUACGUAGGGUGCGAGCGUUGUCCGGAUUUAUUGGGCGUAAAGGGCUCGUAGGUGGUUGAUCGCGUCGGAAGUGUAAUCUUGGGGCUUAACCCUGAGCGUGCUUUCGAUACGGGUUGACUUGAGGAAGGUAGGGGAGAAUGGAAUUCCUGGUGGAGCGGUGGAAUGCGCAGAUAUCAGGAGGAACACCAGUGGCGAAGGCGGUUCUCUGGGCCUUUCCUGACGCUGAGGAGCGAAAGCGUGGGGAGCGAACAGGCUUAGAUACCCUGGUAGUCCACGCUGUAAACGGUGGGUACUAGGUGUGGGGUCCAUUCCACGGGUUCCGUGCCGUAGCUAACGCUUUAGGUACCCCGCCUGGGGAGUACGGCCGCAAGGCUAAAACUCAAAGGAAUUGACGGGGCCCCGCACAAGCGGCGGAGCAUGCGGAUUAAUUCGAUGCAACGCGUAGAACCUUACCUGGGUUUGACAUGGAUCGGGAGUGCUCAGAGAUGGGUGUGCCUCUUUUGGGGUCGGUUCACAGGUGGUGCAUGGCUGUCGUCAGCUCGUGUCGUGAGAUGUUGGGUUAAGUCCCGCAACGAGCGCAACCCUUGUUCACUGUUGCCAGCACGUUAUGGUGGGGACUCAGUGGAGACCGCCGGGGUCAACUCGGAGGAAGGUGGGGAUGACGUCAAGUCAUCAUGCCCCUUAUGUCCAGGGCUUCACGCAUGCUACAAUGGCUGGUACAGAGAGUGGCGAGCCUGUGAGGGUGAGCGAAUCUCGGAAAGCCGGUCUCAGUUCGGAUUGGGGUCUGCAACUCGACCUCAUGAAGUCGGAGUCGCUAGUAAUCGCAGAUCAGCAACGCUGCGGUGAAUACGUUCCCGGG
rnacentral:rRNA from 1 species